rnacentral:rRNA from 1 species
GAUGAACGCUGGCGGCGCGCCUAACACGUGCAAGUCGAACGGCACCCCUCUCCGGAGGGAAGCGAGUGGCGAACGGCUGAGUAACACGUGGAGAACCUGCCCCCUCCCCCGGGAUAGCCGCCCGAAAGGACGGGUAAUACCGGAUACCCCGGGGUGCCGCAUGGCACCCCGGCUAAGCCCCGACGGGAGGGGAUGGCUCCGCGGCCCAUCAGGUAGACGGCGGGGUGACGGCCCACCGUGCCGACAACGGGUAGCCGGGUUGAGAGACCGACCGGCCAGAUUGGGACUGAGACACGGCCCAGACUCCUACGGGAGGCAGCAGUGGGGAAUCUUGCGCAAUGGGGGGAACCCUGACGCAGCGACGCCGCGUGCGGGACGGAGGCCUUCGGGUCGUAAACCGCUUUCAGCAGGGAAGAGUCAAGACUGUAC